GAUUAACGCUGGCGGCGUGUAUAACACAUGCAAGUCGAACGAAGUGGCGGACGGGUGAGUAACGCGUGAGUCACCUGCCUAGAGAAGGGGAUAGCCUUUGGAAACGAAGAAAAAUACCCUAUGCUCUCAGAUGGGCUUGCGUCUGCUCAGGUAGUUGGUGGGGUAACGGACCACGAAGACAGCGAUCCGUAGCCGGCUUGAGAGAGUGUCCAGCCACAGUGGGACUGAGACACGGCCCAGACUCUUCGGGAGGCAGCAGUGUGGAAUGUUGAACAAUGGGGGAGACCCUGAUGCAGCGACGCCGCGUGAUUUAGAAGGCCUUCGGGUUGUAAAAAUCUUUUCUAUGGGAAGCAGUACCAUAGGAGUAAGGACCGGCUAAUUACGUGCCAGCAGCCGCGGUAAUAC
rnacentral:rRNA from 1 species